UCAAAUAGCAGUCUGAGACAGCUCAAAAGAAAAGCAAGGAAGCAGGGACAUUAGAAAUGUUCAGCAGUUGGUGAAAAUGACAUUCUAUUUGGCAGAGAUUCUCCAACAGAUCCAGUGACCUACUAGAGUUUCAGGUAGUCUGAUGCAUGGAGAGAAGAGACAGACAGCUUCCUCGAUAGCCUUGGUGAAAGGAAAGAAAGAUAGAAGAGGCAUCAUUCCUUCCCAGGCAAGUGGAUCCUUUGGCUGUGAAUUUUCCAGUACUUUGCCCUUCAAGAUAACAUUGAAUUAAGUGUCUCCAGCAAUAAUGCUUUUCUCACACCCCCUUUUUGUUAAUAAAUAAAUAAAUCCCACCAAACGGUGCAGUCCUGCAAAGUGA